CCUACGGGUGGCAGCAGUAGGGAAUAUUCGGCAAUGGGGGGAACCCUGACCGAGCAACGCCGCGUGAACGAAGAAGUUAUUCGUAAUGUAAAGUUCUUUUAACAGGGAAGAAAGAGAAAUUUGACGGUACCUGAAGAAUAAGCUCCGGCUAACUACGUGCCAGCAGCCGCGGUAAUACGUGGGGAGCGAGCGUUAUCCGGAAUUAUUGGGCGUAAAGGGUGCGUAGAUGGCAUAGUAAGUCUUUUGUAAAAAUGCUGGGCUCAACCCAGUAGGGCAAAAGAUACUGCAAAGCUAGAGUAUGACAGAGACAAGUGGAACUACAUGUGUAGCGGUAAAAUGCGUAGAUAUAUGUAAGAACACCAGUGGCGAAGGCGGCUUGCUGGGUCGAUACUGACAUUGAGGCACGAAAGCGUGGGGAGCAAACAGGAUUAGAUACCCGUGUAGUC
rnacentral:rRNA from 1 species